GGGGAAUAAGUCUCUGCAGCGUUGUAGUGAAGAGAGAAUACGGGACAACUGCAGGACCACAGCUCAGCCAAGAGCUCCCUUGCAGCUGAGUUGGCCAUAUGACUGACAGCAAGCCCUGGAAUGCAGCCAGAAGUGAUAGAAGCCUCUUUCACACCAUGCUCCUAAAAUAUUCCAAGAAAUUUUCCAAACCUACUCUUUUUAGUCUGUGCAUCUGGAAGUGAAAGUUUUAGAAAGGGUAAAGUCACUUAAUGGAAAGGGCCCAGAUCUAGCCCCUCGGAGCCAAGCUGUCCAACUAGAAAUUCUGCAUUAGUAUUUGCGACCCCAGUAAAAAAAAAAAAGUCCCACAAAGAUGUAGGAUCUCACUUUGCCUGCGUUAAUUCCCUGUCCUUUGCCCAGUUUCUCCUCUCUUGGAAGGCAGAGGCAGCUUCUGAUUUUGAUCACUUCAUGUCCAGAUGACUUCAAUUCCAUCAUUACUAUUCCUGUCUACUUGCAAUAUCAAUAUUAUUUAUCAUUGUGUUGAUGUGUGCUUUCUUCUAUCCCAUACAUCCUAUCAGUAUAAACUCUUUCAUUAUAUUGAUUAACCAACUCAGUUUAUGGCAGUGUUUCUUUAUCUGUCAUCAAUUGAUUAUCACACAUUCAUCAGGCACUGGAUAGAAUUCAUAGGAUAUGCCACAAAGUGAGAAGGGGGAUCAUUUGCUUCAGAGAAGACACAUUUACUGAUCAUACUGCAAAGAGCAAGCUGACCCCUGCUUGAGAUCUUACAGAGAACUACAGAAAAUUCACAAAAGCCCCCACAAAAGAGUCUGCUGUGACCAUCUGUCAAGUUGUCAGCUGUAAACAACUGCCAAAAUGCUAGAUCACCUCACAAGGAGCUGUGAAGUAACAUCUUUGCUGCCUUUCUUACUUCUUCCUUCCUGGCACCAAUCCUUGAAGAGCCAGAAAACUCUGCCGGUGAAUUGGAGAAGGAGUAGAAGUAGUAUUAGACUAGGUAAUAAAUCUCUUCCACCCCUACUUCAACUUCUGGCUUCCCACUCACAGCAGACUCAAGCUGCCAGAAAGGAAAAAAACUUCAACUUUAACACAAGAUCAAAGUUUUUACAAACACAUGCUUCUGACAGUUAAAUUACUAAACUGGGGCAGUUUUCUGUGACCUGAAGUAACAAGAAAACUGUAUUACUCAACAGUGACCAGAAACAUCAUGGAAUCUGCCUAACUUUUCACAAAGAAAUGAAAAGGCUAAACUUACAAACUACAUUUAAAAGGAUAGAGGGAGAGAACAUUUAAGCUACUUCUUGACUAUAUUCCACAAGUCAUCUCUGUUCAAUAUAUCAGCUGUUUCUUGGAAGAGAAAAUGGUGAUAUCAGGGUACACGAUGGCUUCCUCAAGAAGAAGCUGUCAUGCCCAGGCCAAACUCAAUGACAGCCCUUGAAUUCAUGGAAAUUAUCCCAGGCAGAACACACAUCCUUGUCAUCACUGUCAAGGAUUACUGAUUACACUAUCGCAUUUCAUCUGCACCUACGGACAUAAGAAAGCAUCAAACUACAAGUCUUUUCAUGUCCCCAAGCUGCUAAAAAGGAAUCAUCUAAAAUGCCUCUUCCUGGCCUCCCAGGAAGGUGUUGUAGAGAUUCUCAUGAAGAAUUAUUAUUAUCUCUUUUAAAUAAUAGCUCGGCAUUAACAGAAAAUUUUCUCUGUAUUAUUGCCAUCACUUAAAGACAGAACUUAUGACACCACAAAUGACCCAGAGAAAAGGUAGUUCUAAAUCAAUGCAAAAUAACAAAAGGAUAAAAAGCAUAUCCCCAGAGACACACCAGGAGAUGCACACUGUGUUGCAUUUAUUAAAAUGCAGGUGUAAGCAUAAGGCAUAAAAUGACAAUAUUAAACCAAGAGUUUAAAUUAUGUAGAAUAUUUUAUAAGAUUAUAGCUUUAAUUUCCUUUGGGGAAACUAAGGUGGAAAAUAGUAGUUUCGUGAGACUGUUCACUGUUGAUUUGAAAGCCAUCUGGCUAAUCCGUAGCAUUUAUUUUUUUAAUGAAUAAAUGAAAAUCAAAAGAAGGAUGCAAUAUUAUUCAAGAAAAAGAUUUGUGCUUUGAAAGUUUUAAAAUAAUAUUGCAACUCCAAAAUUACAUGUAAAUCCCUCAAAAUAGACCAAGUAGGCACGUUCUCCCAAUCUAAUGUCUAUUUAACUCCAUUGAAACAGGUGAUCUAUUUCUUAAUAUUGCCUAUGUAUGGGCAAGAAAUGUGGGUAUUUGCUCUGUUUUGUUUUAAAUAGAAACUUCUAAUUGUAUUUUCUUUCUCUGGGAAUCACACCUCCAAAGUGGUACACUGUAGGAAAUAGGACAAUCCUAGGGGCCAUGGGCCUUCGUGAGAGGUAUAAGUCUUGCUCCAUCCCAUUUCAGAUGUGCAAGAUGUUUACUCUGACACGGCCUAUGUAUCUUUAAGAAGCUCAAAUAAUACUAAUUCAAUGCCAUUCCUAAGUUAUCAAGAGGAUCCAACAAGUCAGUGAGCAUACAACUGUAAAGACAAAGUAAUCUAAAAUGGAGAUUAUUUUAUUCUUUUUGUUAUAGUGUUUCAAUGAGGAAUUAUAUUUCAGUAAAGAACAAGGAAAGUAAUAGAAAAAAGAAAGAAAGUAUAAUGCUAUAAAUAAGGACCACAUAUUUCUCCAUGCCCUGUUUACCCUAAUAUGUAAAUAUAGAGGGCUACAAAGAACAAAUAACAAUUCAAAGAAAUAAAGGGGCCAUUUAAUAUUGAAUCACAAAGGCCUCUGACAAACCCCAAAUCCACCCUCCUGAAGCAAAUCACCACUUUCCAAGACAUGGGAUAACCUAUUGAGUUUCUCUAGCUCUUCAAAGUUCUUUCUUCUUUUGCCUUGUUGUGACCACUUCUCCAAAAGAGGGACUGAAAGCUUACUAUCAAGUAACUUUGAAUGUCCACAUUUUAUUCUCCCUCUUCCUUGUGACUUGCUCGACUAAAGGGAGAUUUUGUUUCCUCCAUUCCAAUUCUGCAUCAAAAUAAAACUGCUGUGUUUCAUCACUUCCAUGUUUGAAGCAUUUGCCUUGAUCAUUUGGGUAAGCGUAAAUUUUUCACCUGCAAUUUGAUCAUUCUUAUUUCCUUAGCAGUAAUUUUACAGUUUUGGAAGUCCUAUCAGAAAACUAAAAUUGUUCUGAAAAAAAUUGCCUUAACUUUAUCUUCCAAAUUUUAAAAACAAUAGGGGCACAUCGUGGAAUAUGUUAAAAAGUGUAAUUUUUAAAAAGCAGAAAAAUAAUUUUGGGGUUUUUUUGUUGCUGGUUUAUUCUUGUUCUUUAAAAUAGUCAAAUUUGUAUUGCAUAUACAUUUGUUAUCCUACUUUUUACUUACUAUCAUGUCAUUCACAUUUUCAUGUCAAAAAUUAUUUGUAACAAAGUUUAAUGCUAGUUAUAGUUGAUUAUUCAGAUAUAAUGCCUAAUUUUACAAUAGUGAAAUUUCAAUUGCUUUGUAUUGGUUUAUAAUAAAUGCUAGCUAGUU
ensembl:lncRNA LINC00499 long intergenic non-protein coding RNA 499